rnacentral:tRNA from 1 species
GGUAAAAUGGCUGAUAAAAGUAAUAAACUGUAAAUUUAUGCAUGAAAUAAAUUUCUUUUACCA